rnacentral:misc_RNA from 1 species
GGAAGUAAAAGUCGUACAAGGUCUCCGUUGGUGAACCAGCGGAGGGAUCAUUACAGAGUUGCAAAACUCCCAAACCAUUGUGAACGUUACCUAUCCCGUUGCUUCGGCGGGCGGCCCGGGCCCCGCGCCCGGCGCCCCCCGGCCCCCCGUGGGCGCCCGCCGGAGGUAAACCAAACCCUUGAAUUGCAUGGCCUCUCUGAGUCUUCUGUACUGAAUAAGUCAAAACUUUCAACAACGGAUCUCUUGGUUCUG